UGACAGCGCUGCCGAUUUCCAAUUUUGUCGAGAAAAAUUGUGCACAUCAUCUGUACAUAUACAUAACACAUUCUGCUCAGUCCAUAAUUUACAACAAACAAUUGGCCUAAUUACUUAACAGGGGUGUAAAUACAUAGUUGAUUCCUUGUACUCAAAGAAGGAAAACCUAUGCAAACUAGUGACAAACGAACCCAACCCCCCUUCAAUUCCCAGAACCACCUGCCCCAACUUUCUCAUCACUCCUGACAGAAAGAACAAAUAUUUACUCCCCCCAAAAAUGUACAUCCAGCAAACAGCAAAUUUGUAUAACCACUAUAACUUUUUCUGCUACCCGUAAUCCUUUCCAAAUGUAUCUCUGUAAAAAAUCAAUCUUUCAAAUCAUUAUUUGUUCUUGAAGAAGUUGAGAUCCCAACGACGCCACAAACCAUCCAUGACAUUACUUGUUGGAUUCUUUACAACAGUCACAGUAGCUUUAGUACCAUCAACCGUGUCAACACUGGACGAACUUUGAUUGCUGACGGACUUCUCACGAUGAGAAGUUCCAUUGCAUUCCACUUCUUUCGCUGAUGAAGUACUAUUAGCUGGAGUUACUGAUACUUUUUUAGUAUCUGGAACUUGGACUUUGGCGUCUGAAUUUUGCUCAUUAAAAACUAUGGCACUAGCACUAAUUUCUUUUGAGGGUGUACAUUGCUUUGCAGUAGACAACUCCUCUCUAGCGCCCUGCAGGGGUUGAGGAAGUUCUAUGACAUCAUCUGAGGACGCUUGUUCAGCCGGAGGAGGUUUAACCUCCAGGUCCUUUAAAGAUUCGAGUACUGCUUUCAUUAACAUCUGAUUUUUUUUCACCAGUCAAAAUGUCAAAGCUGAGGAAUAAUACUGAAGCCAAUACUAAAGUGACGCAUUUCUGUAAAAUUCAACAUACUUACCCUUUCUUCUUCAUCUACAUUACUAGGAAAAUCUGCCAUAUUAUCAAGUGGGUAUUCAACAUAGUCAUCAUCAUCUAUUGAUGCAGGAACAUUGGGACCAAAUGGAUCACCAUUGGAAAGUUCAAAGCUGAUCAUUUUUGAAGAUGAUGGGGCAGAGUAGGUUCCAGUACCUUCUUCCUGGUCUGCAGUUUGGUUAUCCUGAGCAGAUAUGUCAGAAGGGACCUCUAUCCGACUCAUGGGUCUUUUGGAGCGAACCUGCUUUAUUACAUCUUCGGUGCUACUAGUUGGUGCAGCUGCAACAUCAUGGACAUCAUCCAUAUAGUCCAGUUCAUGGACUGUACUCCAACUGCCCUUGCCAAAAUAAUCUUGUGGCAUGUCAAAGAAUGCAGCACCAGCUUCAUCCAUUGGUGGUUGCAAAACAUUGUUGAAGAAGAUACUUAUAGAAUCAAAAUAAAACUGUGGGCGCGGAGAGUUGUGAUCACCCUCAAAUUUUAUAAUAUUCUUGUCUCCCAUGUAAGCAUCAAAUACACGAUCUGAAUGAUGGGGCUGUAUAAAAUCAUCAUCAACACCAUGACCCAGUAAAACAGGAACAAAGCAUGACUUUGCAACCUUAAUUGUGUUCAACUCAGCUAUGUCAAACUUUGCCUUUUUUAAAACAGCUCUGCGCAUAUAUUGGAUUGCAAAUUUCACGGUGAACUUGGGUAGCCGUAUUUUGUAAGUGUCUACAAGUUCGGUCAUCAAAUCAACCAAAUCAGAGAAGGGACUGUCUAAAACCAUUCCAGCAAUGGAUGGAUCCUCAGCACCGUACAUGAGGCUAGUAACAGCACCCAUUGAACGGCCCCACAAGCCAAUCAAAGAAACAUUGCCAUCUGUCCGCAGAUAUUCAACCACAGCUCUGAGAUCGUCCUUUUCAUUCCACCCCAACGUAACGUGCUCUCCUCCAGAAAGUCCAGAUCCAGAAAAGUCAAGGGUGAAAACAGUGAUGUUUGAUGGCAAUAAUAUAAUAGCAGCUUCACUGGCAUCUGCUCUACACCCGCUGUUCCCAUGACAGUAUAUCACACAAGGUAGCAGCUUUCCUUCUGGACGAAUAAGAGGCAUAUAAUGGCUACAUUUAAGAAAAUCAUCCCUACUAUUUUUAACCUCCAGAUCCUUCCUUUGGUACCAUUUCCCUUUAAGCAUGAA
rnacentral:misc_RNA from 1 species